UUCAUUUCUACCUAAAUAUAUAAACCUAAUAUAUCAAAACCCUAACCCUAUCUCUAUCCUAACUAAAUGGCGCCCCUUCCCAUCCUCCACCUUCUGCCGCCGCUUCUCUACCCAAAUCCGCCAGAAUUCUCACCCACUCGCCUCACGUGCUCCCUUAUUUCUCCUCUUGCUACGUAGCUUAACAAAUCUCCGACAGAGAAUAUUCCUCACCCAUUUUUUCCACGUUUUCUCUCUCUUUUUGGAAGGAUUUAAGAUUAAUGGGAGCCUUAGAAUUAAGGAUGAUUGAUCAUAUCCUUCCAUUUGUCAAAAAUCCGCCUAUCUAAAAGAGAUCUAUAGGCUCAAUCGUUUCUUGGGAGCAAAGGAAUGAAGCUUGGAUUUUGAAGAUAAAUACACUCUUCUUUUGGAUUUUAAGGGCACGACCUUUUGGACAGAUUUUGGGGUGGGUGAAAAAUUCUAGGGUUUGAAAAGUUUCUUUUAGAUUUUGGUCCAAUUUUUCCUCUUCUGUCUUUGAGCUGCCGAUAAUUUUUUUUUGUUUUAAUCGUCUUCUUUUAUUUAGAUUUUUAUGCCUAAGCGUGGAGUGAGUUGAACUCGAAUUCACGCUUGAGAUUUGGAAUUAUGCUGUUGUUUUGGGAGCAUAUUGUUGUUGUUUCAAAGUUGCUGAGCUCCAAUUUUCUGACUUCCGGCAUUUGUUUGGUUCGUCUAAGUUUAUUUGCAGCUGUUGAAGUAUUUACCUUGAUUUUAGAAUGUACUUACUGUUUUGACAUUCCCAUGCUAUAAAGUUUUUCUUGAAUUUGCUCACUUGCUGAGUAUGAGAUGUCUUAGUUUUAAUAGAUGUGAUUCAAUAAAAUAAAUGACAUGAUUAUAAUUAUUUAUUAUUUUUGUAAAGUUGAAUAGAAGCUCUCAAUUACUUUAUAUUAAUGAUCUUCGAUUAAAUCGAAUUUUCUCUACUCUUUUAAGUUUUUUUCUUGAAAUUCUCUAAAGAUCAGUUGGAAUGCCUCGGAUCCUUCUGUUAUUGAUGAUAACAUUAGAAAGUGUCGAAAAGAAUAUUUUUUUUAUCAUGAAUUUCUUCUUGUUAUAGCUAAAAUAUGCCCAGUAGGCCUGCUGUGUAACCCACAUUAGAUUUGGGCUACAAGUAAUUUAGGGCAACAACAGCAGGCUGUGGUGAUUCACAAACUUCACCGCCCAAUGUCCAAAACCAAAUGUUGUCAUGACGUUGUGAACUAUAUAUCCUAUAAGCAUGUGGAAUUUUUAUUGCUAAUCAGUUCACGAAAAUAUGAAAUAGCAUCAUCUCACUUGACAAUUUGUUGCAUAGUUGGUAUUUUGAUGAAAUGGUAUGUUGGUUAUGUGUUUGUAAUGCUUUUCCUUUGUUGCUUCCCUUCAGAUAAUUCCCUUCUGUUUGGAAUAUGAAUACAUAAUAGUAUAUUUAUUUCCUAGUUGGCUCAUAGUCAAUCAAAAGAGAGAAAGAAAGGUUUCUUUUGCCUAAUUGACAGAGGCGAUGGUGAAUUCAGCCAUGGUACUAUCUAGAGAUAUAAUUUUUUUUCCAAUUUGAUCUCGGUUACACACUUGGACUUUUGUAUUGUUAGUGUCUUCUUAAGUAGAUUGUUAGUUAGUCCUUGUUAUUGUGUGAUUGACCAUUAUAUUGAAAAAUAUAGUCAUUAUGAAGAAACAACAUAUGAAUGCUUGCUGGCGAGUGGAAUAAGACAUUUUAUUACGUAAGGAAAAACAAACCGUGAACAAUCGUAGCUUGCUUUAGGCGCGAAAUUAAAUCAUCGUGACUAUGAGUACGGUUCCCGUGGCAUAGUCAUAAUACAUAAUUUCCAAAUUCGGGUGUGCAUUUCAUGUGACCCGAUCAUAACAACUUCGAACAAUAAUAAAAUAAAUAUGUUGCAAAUCACGGGUACAUUGUAGCGUAGUUUGCGGUGUGUUCCAAAAAUAACAAGUGUACGAUAGUCGUAACUUUGUUCAAGAAAAUAAUUCCAUAAAUCCUAAAAAGUGGUUAAAAUUAAUUAAAAGCGGUUAUAAAGUUAAAAAUGCAUAAUAGGUUUAAAACAUAUAUUAAAUCAGAUAAUUAGGCCAAUUAUUAAUAGUUAAGCGACCGUGCUCGAACCACGGAACCCGGGAAUGCCUAACACCUUCUCCCGGGUUAACAAAAUUCCUUACCUAGUUUUUCUGGUUUCGCAGACUUUUAAAUGAAGUCAAUUUUUCUCGAUUUGGGAUUUAAAAUAAACUGGUGACUUGGGACACCAAAUAAACUAUUCCAAGUGGCGACUCUGAAAAAUAAAUAAAAUAAUCCCAUUUUGAAUAAUGUCACUUUAAUUGGAAAAACUCCCUUAUAUUUUCUUGUUUUUCAGAAAUCAUUAAAGUUUUCGGUCAACUUCCUGACUUCUGUCAUUAGGUAGAAAAAAUAUUACGUGUCUCUCCUAUGGAGCAAAGAUCCUGGAAGUUUCUAUCCUAAAAGUUUGGGUGGAAAGUUAAAACCCACGGUAGAUUACUUUACUUUACCAUGCAUUUUUCACUUUUUCCUUCUUAUUUUAGUAUCCUUUGUAACUUUCAGGAUUGCUAUCUGCUGAGUGCGUCCUGCUUUUGCUUCUGCAGUUAGACUCAAUAUCAACACUACUCAGGAGCAGAUUUUGAGCGUGUCCUCUUUUGGUGUAGACACCCGAGAGCUCAGGUGAGUUUUGAACGCGUUUCAGAUUAAUUUGGUCAUGUUCAUAGUUAUUGAUGUUGGGAAGUUUUUGGAGGUCUCGUAAAUUCGAGACACUGUUCGCAUUUGCGAACCUCACAUUUGCGAUGUAGGUUGGGAGGCUGUUAGGUUCGCUUUUGUGAACUACAGAUCACAUUUGUGAUUAGGCGCCUGGACUAAGGAGAAUUGCAUUUGCGAUAAAAUGCUCGCUUUUGCGGAGCGAGAACUUCGCAUAUGCAAAGUCUGUGUCAUAUUUGCGACAUCCCUAGUAUUCAUGCCACGACCCAGAUUUCCCACCCUCGGGAGUCGUGAUGGUGCCUACUUGUAGAAGCUAGGCAAGCCGUGAAACAUAAAAAUUACUAACUCUUUCAUUUUAGCCCUUUUUAACAAUCUGAAUUAACAGGUAAUCAACAUUUAAAUAUUAACGAUAAAUGAAAUCAAGCGGAAGACUUAGUCUAAUAUAAUAACCAAAACCAGUGCCACAAAUGUCAACAUACGUCUCUACUCGGAAUGCGGUGUCAUAAUAUCACGGACCGACUAAGAUUACUACAACAACUAUCUGAAAGGAAUACAAUCUGUCUCGAAAUCAAUGAAAACAGAGUACAUAAUAAGAUAGAAGAGAACACCGGGCCUGCGGACGCCUGCAGGACUACCUCGGGUCUCUAGUUGGACUGAAGGUAGCCUCCCCAAGUGCUACUGUCAUCAGCACAACCGACCCCAUGUGCUGGUAAGUGUCCAGCCUAACCCCAGCGAAGUAGUAACGAGGCUAGGACCAGACUACCAAAUAAACUUGUACAAUUAUAUAAUAUACAAAGAAAAAUAAAACAGAAAUAAAUAAUCAAAGAUGGGAGGGGGUGCAUGCUGUGGGGGAAAUACAAAUCCAGCAAAAAAUUAAGAGAAUUAUAAGAGAACAAUUCAAGAUUUAUAACAAACAAUAAUAACAAUGUUGCGGCGUGCAACCCGAUCACUAUCAUGUAACACUGUUGCAGCGUGCAACCCGAUCCAACUGUAUCAUUGUUGCGGCGUGCAACCCGAUCCAAUAUAACAUUGUUACGGCAUGCAACCUGAUCCAUUUAUAUCAUUGUUGCGGCGUGCAGCUCGAUCCAAUAGAACAUUGUUGCGGCGUGCAACCCGAUCCAAUAUAACAUUGUUGCGGCGUGCCACCUGAUCCAAUAUAACAUUUAACAACAAUCAUACCAAGAGUCUCGGCAAGGGAGAAACAACUAUAUCCAAUCUCAUUCCAACAUCUAACCAUCUCAGCUAACACCAAUACUCAAUCAUAAGUAAUUUUCAUGAGAACAAUCUUAAUUCUUGCUGAAUACUGAGAAUCAUCAAUUAAAGCAUCCGUAGUAUUAUUUAAGAACACAUUAAACUGCAAUUUAAGACUCACGGUAAUACUCGACACCAACGUAUAGAUACUCGUCACCAUGCCUAUACGUCGUACUCAACAAGAAGCAAAUAGCAAAUAUGACACAACUCCUAAUCCCUCAAGCUAAGGUUAGACCAAACACUUACCUCGAACUUUCACGGCCAACUCAAACAUCAAACACCGCUUUUCCUUUUGAAUUUGGCUCCAAAUCAAUUGUAUCUAGACAUAAUCGACUUAAUAACAUCAAUAAAUGUUAAACAAUCCAAUUCCAAUGCUUAAUUAUAGCUUUCUAAUCAUUCUUUCCAAAAAGUCAAAAAUCGAUCCCAGGUCCGCUUGGUCAAAAUACGAGGUUCGGACCAAAACUCGAUUACCCAUUCCCCCACAAGCCCGAAUAUAUAAUUUGUUUUGAAAUUNNNNNNNNNNNNNNNNNNNNNNNNNNNNNNNNNNNNNNNNNNNNNNNNNNNNNNNNNNNNNNNNNNNNNNNNNNNNNNNNNNNNNNNNNNNNNNNNNNNNNNNNNNNNNNNNNNNNNNNNNNNNNNNNNNNNNNNNNNNNNNNNNNNNNNNNNNNUGUGGAGAAACGAUGAAAUUUCUGAAAAAUGAGGAAAUUCCCGUAAUGCAUUCUAUUUUUUAACUUAAAAAUAACUGGGUGAAUUUGGUCUAUGCAUUCGCGACAGGCUCAUCGCGUUCGCGAUGAUCUAGGCCUGAGAAACUUUCGCAUUCACGGAAAUGGGCUCGCGUUCACGGAGCACUAACUCCUCGAGACUUCGCGUUCGCGUAGGUAUAAUACCCCUCCCCCUGCCCAGGCUCAUAAGCCUUCGCGUUUGCGAUACCAGGCCCGCGUUUUCGAAGGGAAGACCUCCCCCAAAGCUUCAUGUUCGCGACCUGGGUCUCGCGUUCGCGUAUAAGGGAAUUUCUUUCAGCAUGAAUAACUCAUCGCGUUCGCGAGGGUCCUCCCGCGAAUGCGAAGAAGAAAAUACCAGAACACCAGAACUGAAAAACCUGCAAUUUUUUAUGAGUUCAAAACCUUCCGAAACACAUCCGAAACUCACCCGAGCCCUUGGGGCUCCAAACCAAAUAUACGUACUACUCAAUAAUACCAUAUGAACUUAUCCGGGCGAUCAAAUUGCCAAAAUAACAUCAUGAACAUCGAAUUAAACCUCAAAAUCAAUGGAGUUUCUCAAAACUUCUUUGAACAUCAAAUUUUGCAUUUUAGGUCCGAAUCACAUCAAAUGGAUCCCGUUUCUUACCAAACUUUACCGACAACACAUAUAAAUCAUAUUGAACUUUUACCGGGCUCCGGAACCAUAAUACGGGCCCAAUACCAUGAAAUUCUAAAUGCAUUUCAUUUCCAAAACUCACAGAAAUUUCCAAAAAAUAAUUUUUAAAAAAAUUCAUUUCUCGGGCUUGGGACCUCGAAAUUCGAUUUCGGGUAUACGCCCAAGUCCCAUAUUUUUCCACGGAUCCUCCGGGACCGUCCUAUCAUGGGUACUGAUCCGUUUACCCAAAAUGUUGACCGUAGUCAACUAAAAAUGCAUCUUAAGUCAAAUUUCACAUUUUCACAGAUUUCACAUAAUAGCUUUCAUGCGCCCGGACUGUGCACGCAAAUUGAGGUAAUGCCAAAAGAGGUUUUAAAGGCCUCGAACGCAGAAUUUAUUUUAAUAACAAGUGAUGACCUUUUGGGUCAUCAGAAUUCAACAGGCAUCACAUCUGUGAUAUUCUUGUCGUAUUUGCGAGGUUGGCAUUUGCGAACCUCGGGUCGUAUUUGCAACUACUGCAGCUGAACAAAAUAAUGAGAUUUCCGGACUUAGCUUCAUUUAUCACAUUUUGUGCCCUAGACUUGGUGGGAGGUGAUUUUGAUGAGAGAUUUUCAUAUCAAACUAUUGGGUAAGUGAUUUUAAUCCAUUUUUGAUUACAUAACAUGAUUGUUUAAAAGAUUUAACAUCUAAAUCAUGAGAAUUAAGGAGUAUUUUUGGUGGAUUUUUUACUAUGUUUUGAAAAAUGAAAUGUUGAUAUUUGAGAGUCGAAUUGGACUCGGAUUUGAAAACAAAAUACAUAUAUGAACUCGUGGGAUUAUGAGUAGUCGAGAUCUACCCUUUUGUUAAGCUGACAAGCAUGGGUUGAUUUUUGCUGACUUUUGGAAAAUUGGGUAAAGAUCUUAACUUUAAUUACCAGAACUGGUUUCUCUUGCAUUGUUUGAUGAUAUUAAGUCAUAUUUUGUUAGAUUUGAGCCGUGUGGAGAAUUUUUUUAAAGGAAAAGCUAUUUUUGAGUGAUGAUUUGGGCUAAUUGAGGCAAGUAUCUUGCCUAACUUUAUGAGGGGGAAUUACCUGUAGGAUUCAGUCUAAUCGUAUUAUUUAAAUUAUGUGAAAGACAUGUACAUGAGGUGACAAGUGUAUACACAAGCUUAUAUGUGAAAAUUGACCGGUUUAGACUCUUAGGUAAUUAAUAUGCCUUUAGUUGAAGUUGUUGUUACAUGGAAUAUCUUUCAUUAUUGAGUUAUUUUACCAUUUUAUUGUAUUGUUGUUGAAAUUCUUUUACACAUUGUUGUUUGGCCAUGGCUUUUAUAUGUUGUUGUGAUGUUUGUAUUGUUGUUUUGGCAAUGUGGCAUAUGGGCACGAGUGGUGCGAGUUGAUUAUUGUUUUGUGAUGAGAUGCACAUGCGACCUCAUAAGGGUGGUGUUAUUGAUGCGCUUGUAGCGGGAUAAGGGGGAUAUAUGCAUGUGUUGCUAGUAAGGAGAAUCACUUAAUUUGAAGAAUACACAGCGAGAUAAGGGGGCUAAGCUGCGUGAUGCUAUUUCAGAAAAAAUAUUUUUAAAAUAAAUAUUAGCCUCACGCGACAUCAUAAAGAAGAUUUGUGAAUUGUUACUUGUUAUGAGGUGUGAUGCCUCAGAGUGAUUAUUGUUGUAAAUUUUCUGUUGGAAUAGCUUGAUGAUUUGAACAUUGUUUUCGUUAAUUUAUUUCACUUGUAUUUAACUAUAUUUUGAUUAUUUUGCUGUUUAUCACAUGUUUGCUCUUGUUGCCAUUUAUUUUUUUUACUUUCCGUUGGUAGCUUUAUAUUAAUAUUUUGCACAGAUAUUUAUGUAUAAUGAGUGUCUUGACUUCUACCUCAAUACUAAUCCAUCAAGUUUUGUCUUGAUACUUAAUGGGUACCAUUAUGGUGUACUCAUAAUAUGCUUCUACACAUGUUUGUGCAGAUCCAGGUACCUCGGAGCGUGCCGGAUGUUAGCUAGCUAUUAUUGAGUUGCUGAAGAAACAUCAAGGUAUACUUGCCAUUCCGCUCGCAAACCUCAGAGUCACCUUCUGCUAUUACCUUUACAAUUGUUUAUUUUCAUUCCAAACAAUGUUGUAUUUGAUAUUCCUAGAUUAUUUUCUGUUAAAAAUCUUAGCAUGUGUUAGGCUCACCUAGUCUUAGAGACUAGGUGCCAUCACGGUCCUAAAGGUGGGAUUUUGGGUUCAUGACAAGUUGGUAUCAGAGCUCUAGGUUCAUAGGUGCUAUGAGUCAUAAACAAGGUUAGUAGAGUCUUGUGGAUGGUACGGAGACACCUGUACUUAUCUUCGAGAGGCUACAAAAUUAUAGGAAAUUCCACUUCCUUCAUUCCUUAUCGUGCAGAUUUGUUGCUUUAGGAAUCUGAGCCUUUGUCUUUCUAUUCUCUCACAGAUGGUUAGGACACUCACUACUGGAUUAGCUGAGCUGAUCAGUGGUUGCACAAUAGGUUCCGUACCCGGCCUACUAUAGCGUGGAUGUAGAGUAAAAUAGAUACAUAUAUAUAAUACAUGCUGAACUCAUGGAAUCACGUUUUAAACCUUUCAAAGUGACUUAAGGUCGGUAAACUCCGUAUAUGUUAUUAGAGCUAACCCGUCAUCAUGAAUCUUAUAGGAAUAAAGAAAUACCAAUAGAAUUGGAUACAUAAGAAUAAGAGAAGCGACAUCAACAUCAAUAUUUCCAUAAGAAUGGAAACAAUGUAUGUACUGCUAGCUUCUAAGAGUGGAUUAUCUUUGGAAGCUCAUUUGUUUACAUUACUUACAAUCAGAGUCGUGCAAAAUAAAGAAAGGGAUAGCCUCACACACCUUGUAUAUAUUGCCCAACCUCAAUCUAUGUGAAUAUCACGGCUCCUUAGUCUAAAAUAAGACAAAUGAUACCAUCGUUAUCGUUUAAGCUUCGUAACUAUUAUAUAUCGACCACAAACAACACCAAUAAUAAUCAUAUUAAGCCUCACAAACAGUCCACCAAUCAAUAACGUUACUAACAAGCCUUUCGAUAAAUAUCUCACAAGUUCUAGCUUCAACAACUUAGCCAUAAAUUGGAUAAGCUUAAAUAUAGCAAGAGGUUACUUACCUUUAGAAAUAUAUGACAAAUACAAUUUGAGCUUACGUAAACAUGAUGUAUCCUUCCAACGAAUCCACAAGAACAAGGAAUUGAAACUAGCAAUCACUUCGGGUUUCUCAGCACUAGAAUCACUUUGGAAGACUUGAAAUCACCUAGGGUUGAUAUGAAAACCUUGGAAGAGUAAUUUACAGAAGUUAAACACUUAAAACAACCCCCCAAACUAGCUGAAACCACACCAAAAUCAGGAAUCACAAGAAGAACAAGAAACUCACUAGCGCCACGGGAUUUCCGAUAUUCAAUUUGUGUAGUUUGUCCUUUGUUUAGGUCUUGGAUCAUGAGAAAACUUUGAGAGAAGGUUUUUAGGUGUCUAGGGUCUGAAGAUAGUGAAAUAUAAUGAGUAAAAAUGGGCUUUAGGAUUUCACAUAUAUAUCAACAUAUCUCAACUACAUAUGUGGGUCCCAUAGGGAGCUGCUUGUGCAGUCUCGCAACAACGUAAAUAUCUCUCUACUCCGAUGUCGUAUCGACAAACGGUUUAGUACGAUGGAAACUAGACUCGUAUAUCUUCAAUUUUGUGGGUGGAUAUCCCGUAUAGCAAGGUAAAUUGAAAGAAAGCUUAGUAAUAUUAGACCUAAAAUUUUAGUAAAAUUAUGAACGUAACUUGCGACAACUUUUGUCGACUUUUGUUUCAUAACUCGCUUGGCUUCAAAAAUUUACACACGAUUAUCAUAUGACUAAAAUACCUCAUAUAAUUACCUUCUUAUUAUCUUAAUCACCCUAGUACACCCUAAUAGUACGAGUUAUAACAUUCCCAACUUGCUGACUUUCGACGACAUUUAUUAUCUUUAAUUUGAUUAGCUUCUCAACCUUCCCAACCUCAGAUACUUCCUUAUUACUUGUUUUAAACAAUAAUUAUCUUUGUAAAGGUCCUUCAACUCUCUUGAUCAUAUUGAUUCACUUAAGAUAAAUUCAAACAUGAAAGUACGGGGUAUAACAUAGAGAUGGUGGCAGGCUUAUGAAGAGGAUAGGCCAGUUGAUGCAGCCCCACUUACUUAGGCUCAAUUUUCUGAUAUUUUUGAGGGAAUUUGUUCCACAAACCCUCAGGGAUGCAUGACGCUUAGAGUUCGAGCAGUUGCGUUAGGGGACUAUGACGGUGUCAUGAGGUUUAGUGAGUUAUCCCACCAUGCACCUGCUUUGGUUUCUACAGUUAGAGAGAGAGUUGGUAGAUUCUUUGAGGGACUAAGUUAUGGUCUCAAAUUUGGGAUGGUGUGAGAGUUGGAUAUGGAUACUCCGUAGGUUGUGGAUAUCACUUAAAGAUUUGAGGUUAUUCGUGACUAAGAGAGAGGGGAGAGGGAGGCCAAAAGGCUUCGAGAUUCUGGAGGAUUUAGUGGUUCCCGCUCUAUGGUUUUAGCUCGUCAUGGUAGAGGUUAUGUCAGUAGACCAGUUCAUUCUGCACUACAGGCUACUCGUAGUGCUCCAGGUAUUCAGAUACCUUAGGUGCCCAUUUUCCACAUCCACUUUCAAGUGUACCUCCAGCAUAGGGUGCCUAUAAUUAGCCGGCUAGAUGAGACAUAGUUCCUGUAGCAAUUACUGCAGAGAGGUUAUUUUGAGUGUGGCGAUACUAGGCAUACGGUGAGGGACUGUCCCAAACUUAUGAGGGGUGCACCUCCACAGGGCUCAUAUAAUAUGGUUCUGCUCUAGUUGCUACUCCACCUACACAGCCAGCUAGGGGUGGAGGACAUGUGGGUAGAGGGCAUCCUAGAGGAGGAGGCCAUGGCUGUUGUUAUGCUUUUUCCGGUAGGACUGAGGCUAUUGCAUCAGAUGUUGUCAUCACACGUAUUGUUCCCAUUUAUCAUAGGAAUACAUCAAUUUUAUUUGAUUUGGGUUCUACUUACUCAUAUGUGUCAUCUUAUGUUGCUUCAUAUUUGGAUACGUCUCCUGAUUCAUUGAGUGGCCCUAUUUAUGUGUCUACGCCUAUUGGAAAUUCUAUCGUGGUAGACCAUGUUUAUCGGUUGUGUGUGACCACUAUCGGGGGUUUUGAGACCACGGGUUGACCUUUUGUUACUUAAUAUGGUGGACUUUGAUGUGAUAUUGGACAUGGAUUGGUUGUCUCCCUAUCAUGUUAUUCUGGAUUCUCACGCCAAGACCGUAAUAUUGGCUAUGCCAGGAUUGCCCUGGUUGGAGUGGAGAGGUUCGUUGUGCCAUCUUCCUAGUAGGGUGGUGUCUUUCCUGAAGGCAUAUUGGAUGGUUAAGAAGGGGUGCUUGGUAUAUUUAUCCUUUACAAGGGAUGUCAAUGCUGAUACUCCUACCAUUGAGUCAGUUCCGAUAGCAAGAGAUUUCCUAGAUGUGUUUCCAGCAGACCUACCGAGCAUGUCGCCCGAUAGGGAUAUUGAUUUUGGUAUAGACCUGAUGCUGGGUAUUUAGCCCAUCAAUAUUCCAUCAUAUCGUAUGGCACUAGUGGAGUUGAAGGAAUUAAAGGAACAACUUCAGGAGUUGCUUGAUAAGGGUUUCAUCCGACCGAGUGUCUCGCCUUGGGGUGUUCCAGUUUUAUUUUUGAAGAAGAAAGAUGGAUCUAUGAGGAUGUGUAUUGAUUACUGGCAAUUGAAUAAGGUUACAAUCAAGAACAUGUACCCACUACUACGUAUUGAUGAUUUGUUUGAUUAGCUUCAGGGUUCUCAAGUAUUCUCAAAGAUUAACUUGAGAUCGGUGUACCAUUAGUUAAUGAUUCGAGAUUUGGAUAUUCUGAAGACGAAUUUCAGAACCCGUUAUGGUCACUAUGAGUUUUUGGUGAUAUCAUUUGGGUUGACUAAUGCCCUAAUAACUUUCAUGUACUUGAUGAACAAUGUAUUCCAUCCAUUUCUUUAUUCAUUCAUCAUCGUGUUAAUUGACGAGCGCAAAACACAUACUUAAAUAUGCUCGCUAGUCGAAUAUAGUGAAACAUAAUAUUGUAUCCUCAUGGAUUGGAGUUAAACAUUAUUUUCAUAGUUUGUAGCUAAAUUGCUAUCAAAGAUGUCAACAAUUUAGAUUUGUGUUAUUAAACUUAAAUUAACUAAGAGUGUAAACUAUUGGCUAAUGACAAUUGACACAAGUAAUGAGCAAAUAAGGUUAUCAAUUAGGAGAAGAUAGGGUUGAUACGAUAGGUGCAAGAUAAAUUAUUUGGGAUCUAACUCUAGAUAAUUCGCUUCUAAUGUUCAAGUGAGUCUCUUGAAUUCAGCUAGAUAUUAGUUCAAUUGUUUAGUGAAAUGGCUCUCUUGAUUAAGUCUCAACCUCACAAGAUGAACCAAUUUAAGCUCGUGAAGAUAUGCAAGAAUUCGUAGUGGAUUGGUCUUUAGGAGAACCUCUCUCGAUUAUCCUCCUAACCAAGUUUAAUCAACAAUUCAACUAGCCUCUUUCGAUUACAAUGAAGAAUUAAUUAUUUCAACCAACAUUAUAUAAUGCAAAGAUAUCACAAGUUAUGCCGAUCUUGAUUACAUUAACAAGUUCAUAUAGAUGCAACGCUUAAAACAUCCAAAACGAUUCAAUACAUAAAACUAGAGUUAUAAUACACAAACUAAUAUCAAUACACAAAAUCCAUCAAACCCUAAAGAGAACUACUCCAUAGAUAUGGAUCAAUUCAUCACAAAUAGGUUUAAAUUAAAGGAAAACAUAAAAUGAUCCAAACUCUUGUCUCGAGUGAGGAUUGAAUGAUGAAAUCCGUGCGCUUUUGCUUCUCCACCUCCUCCUUAGCUUUCUUAGGUCUUAGAUGUGUCAAAAGUCCAUAAAAUAACGUUUUUAUAUGUAUUUAUACCAAGUACGGUCAGGCCCAAACAAAAACACCUUUUCCUAUGCGAAACUGUAUUGUGGCUCUGUAAAAAAUGCACAGGCGCACUGCAUGGGGUGACGCACCAGGUGGGGCGGUUGUGGGAAACUUCAGAGAGCUUGUAAUUUGACAGGAGCAGAAAAAUGGGCAGCCGCGAUUCCCCACGUGCUGUGGUUGUGGAGAAUUCUCAAAGUACGGAUUUUUCUUGCAUUUUUGCUAUCCAGACGUAGUUCUCGACACCGAAUUAGAUCCCAUCUUAAUCCCUUGGGCUUUACUCAGGCUUCAAAGCUCCAGAUAGCUCGAAUUCAUUCCAUAACAUCUACAUCACCUUGAAUCACUUGUACAAGGCAUAAAACACACAAUUAGUGCAAAACACUAGCGAUUAAAGCUCAAACUCAAUUAAACUACAGUUAAUUAGAGUGCAAUAAGCGACUAAGAUACGAGAUUAUAACCUACCAUCAAUACCCCACACUUAAACCAUUGCUUGUGCUCGAGCAAUAAAACUACACUUUAUAUAAACACGACCUUUUUAAACAACUCUCCUAACUCAUCAUACCAAGAAUAUUUAAAAUAGACUAAGCACAAUAGCGUAACAUCCUCGCCUCAAGAUUCGACUCACAAGUACCACACAUUAUUCAUAACCUUCUCACUUACACAAACAUAGAGAGCAACAACAAUACCUUUCCUUCAUGAAUCAAGUGCCCUCACACAACAAUAGAGAGUGGUUCCACACAUAAUCAAAUUUAAGAGCAAUUAGGAACUCAAGAUAGACAGAAUUCGCUCACUCUCAGAAAUAACAUUCAUAUGCCAUAAAAGAUGCACAAUAAGCUUGCGCGUAGUGUACUACUCUACUAAUUGAGUUCAUUCAAUCAACGAUCAAGUAGAACUUUAAUUGGUUGGAAUGUAGGUUGCGGGACGGGUAAGGUACAUUUAGAUAUAAGAGUAACUACACUUCCCUAAGCACUUUAAUACAUACACUUUAACAUUCGAAACCCCACACUUAUGUCAAAUCAUAACUCCACCUUCACGUCAAUAUACAUCAACUCCCAAAUUAUUUAAGCAUAAUUAUAUCAGGAGUUACCACUUAUCAAUGAAUAUUUUCACAACACUAUGACUAUUUUUUUUCUUUCUUUUUUAAUUCAAGUGGCUCUUAACUUCUCAAUACAUUGCACCUUUCUCCUUAUUUCAUUAGUUCUACUCAAAAGCCACACUCCACACUUCAACUUUUACAAGGUUCAUAACAAUUUUUAAGUGCUCACGAGAGGUGAAAAGGUUUAAAUAGAUGGUCAAUUCAAACAAAUAGGUAAAGCUUGUAAUAUGGUUUCCAAAGAAACAUGAUUAUAGGCUCAAAGGGGUUAACUAAGAUACAUAACAAUUAGGUGGGUAAAAGCAUAUAACUUGCUCAACAAAGAAAUGCCUAUAUCACUUCCAAAACUGAAUAAAACUACUAUUUUGCUUUGCACACACACGAGGCAAGUUCUAGACAUCAAAUGCAAUGCACAGAAUAUAAUAAAACCUCACACACACACAUGGCACAUAGCUCACUCGAUAUUGGACUCAUCAAGACACUGUAGUCAAAGCAGUUACGCAAAGCUAAGAUCAUACAAUUAAAGGUACUUACACAAUAGUCAAAAAACUGAGCCUAAGCGUCACAACUAAAGCACUCACUAUUCUCAAGGCAUAACAUGUCAAGAGAUAUUUCUUCCAUUUCAAUUCAUAGCACAAGGUUUCCUACUCCUAACAAAAUGAAAACUAACUACACCCGGUUCAAACAAAAACCACCCUUGGAAAAGAAUCACGGCACAAAGAAAAAGUAAGGGGUAAUUGUUACCCUACCUACAAAAGAAAAUCGUUUUAUCAUUUUCUUUCGACUUUAAUCCCUCAAGAAACCCGUCGAUGAUAUCCAUUAUCGGGAAAAGUCGAAAGUUUUAAAUUUUUUAUGUUUUUCAAAUUUUUUCUAUCUCUUACUACUGAAACUAACAAAAGCAAAAACAAUCAAGCUAUCUAAAGAAAAAACUAAGACCAAUAUACAUACAACAUACAAAUAUAUCUCCCACCCCACACUAAGUUAUGGCAUGUUCCCAUGACACACAAUUAAAAAGCAUAAGGUAGAGGAAACUUCCUUGAAUCUCUAGUCGGGGUCUGAGUCAAAGUCAGAAUCCAUUCCACGUGCCCGAACUAGUGCACACAUCCAUGCAGACAACUUCUUCUUAGCCUUUUUGGGGUACACCUCACACUUUUCAAUCACUGGAGCCUUCUCCUUCACACCUUCCACCUUCCAUUCAACACUUACAACUGGAUUCUCCUGUUUCACCCCCUUUUCUACAUUCAUCUCAAAAGUCAUCGUCUCCUCGCCCACUCUAUGCAUGAGUUUUCUCUUAUGUAUAUCUAAUAUUGCUCUGCCUAUUGCUAAGAAUGGUCUUCCAAGGAUGAGGGAUAUCUCCUUGUUCUCCUCCAUCUUCACCACUAUAAAGUAUAUAGGAAAUACAAACUUAUCCACCCGCACUAAGACAUCUUCAACUAUCCCCUCGGUAUUAUCUUUGUUUGAUCUGCCAGCUACAACGAUAUUGGUGUAUACCUUAUUUUUCCAAUCUCAUUCUCUAGUUUCCUAUAAAUAGAUAAAGGCAUUAUAUUAAUUGAGGCACCAGAAUAGCAUAAAUAUUUAUCAAAGUUAAGAGUGCCUUAAGAGCAAGGUAUGGUAAAACUACCUGGAUCUCCACACCUUUGUGGGAGUUUGUUUUGUAAGAUUGCACUACAAUGCUCUGUGAGCUUGACCACUAAGGUCUCUUCUAUCUUUCUAUUCUUUGUCAGGACCUCCUUCAAGAAUUUGUCAUAAGCUGGCAUUUGUAAGAGAACUUCUGUGAAUGACAUAUUUACAUUAACCUAUCUCAGCAUAUCUAGAAAUAUCUCAAACUGCUUGUCCAACUUUUAUCUAUAGAGCUCUCUGGGAAAAGGUAGAGUAGGAAUAUGCUUGCUCACAUCAUUAGAUUCCUCCCUUCUUGAAGUUUCCUCUUUCUUCUUUUUAUCAACUACCUUCUUGCCUUUCCUCUUCUUAUCAUCUUCAGUUUUCAGCUCCUUCCCACUUUCUUUUAUGUGUCACCUCUUUUUGGACUGGAGCGGGUUAUUUCAACACUUUCCCACUUCUCAAGUUCACAACAUUUACCGUUUCUUUGGGAUACAUCGCAGUAUUAGUUGGUAGAGUACCUAGGAUUCUCUCAGAUAAUAUAGUUGCAAUUUUCCCCACUUGUCUUUCCAAGAUCCGCAAACCUGUGCAAAGUUUUUUGAUGGCUGCACCAUGAGCAUUUAAUCUCUUAUCUGUCUUGAUAAUGAAAGAUUUCAUAAGAUCAUCUAAGCAGACUGAUUUGGCUAUUGAGGCUGAAACUGCAGCCUCGGCUGAUUCACAAAAAUAUGAGCUCCAUGUCCUUGAAAUCUGGGGUUGUUCUAUUGCAAUGCAUUUGCAAUACCCCUAGGUGCACUCCAUGAAAAAUAGGGGUGAUUUUGACCCAUUGCAUUGAAGUUAUAAUUUCGCACAACAUUCACUUCCUGCAUUGAGGCUUAACACUCAUGAGUAGGGUGCCCUCUUCCACAUAUGUCAUAUGCUGCAUGAGGCUCAUUAUGUAUCGAGGCUAAGGUCAACUUCCUUAUUUCUUUGGCCAUGACAUCAAGCUGUACCUGCAUAGAUGUGUUAGCAUCAACCUGUUGAACACCAGUUGAUCUUCUUGUUUCAGCAAUCUCAGAGGGCCACUGAUUUGCAUCUUCAGAUAACUCAUCUAGAAUUGUGUCUAUUUCCUUUAGAGUCUUUUUCAUCAAUGGGCCUCGAGCUGCAUUUCUCAAUGUUCUAUGCGAGGCCGGUGUCAAUCCAUCCCAAAAGUCCUAAGUUGCAUCUAGAGUUCAAUUCCGUUAUGUUGACACUUUCUAACAAUAUCCUUAAACCUCUCCCAUGCUUCCAACACAAUUUCAAUCUCGUUCUAGCAAAACUUAUGGAUUUCUCUUCUGAACUUGCCCGUCUUAGCUAAGGAGAAAUAUUUAGCAAAAACUAUUCCGGUCAUCUCCUCCCAUGUUCUAAAUGAUCCCUAAGGCAAGCUUCGAAGCCAGUGCUUUGCAUCACCUUUGAGUGUGAAGGGAAUGCUCUUAAGUAAAUUGUAUCUUGUGACACACCAUUGUAUUGAAAGGUGUUCAUGAUCUACUCGAAGUCCAUUAGAUGAUUGUUUGGAUCUUCAUUCUACUUUCUUCGAAGACACAACAAUUUUGAAGGGUUUGAAACAACACUUGCAUCAACUCAAAAUUGUUAGCUGCAACUUGGGGAGGUCUCACUCUGGAUAAACCUUGGUUGUAGACCGAUCUAGAAUAAUCGGCAAGUGGUCUCCCAAUACUGGGAGCUAUGUUCUGAACUGGUCUGGAACAAAAAGUUGAUUCUGAGAAAUUCUCCAAGCCUUCUCCUCUUCGUAAACAAUUUGUGCAUCUCUAAGUGCUUCUUCCUCAGCAUUCCUUGCGGCUUUCUCUCUGAGUUAGGCUGCCUCCCUCGCAUCCAAAUCUAUAUUAUCAUCAUCUCCAGCCAUAGUUUAUUUAAUUGAGGAUUGCUCAACAUUCUCUAUAUUCUCGGGGAGAUUUCUUUCCUUCCUCAACUGUUGUAGUUGUCUCUCAAUUGUUGGGUCAUAUGGUUGCACUUCUUUUCCACAAGAUCGAGUCAUGCACCGAUCUAACCUGUAGCCUGCGCACAAUCAUAGAACACCAAUCGUAAAAAGGGAAAAAUAAAAAGAAAAAAUUCCUGAAUUAGCACUACAAACUAUUUCAAACACUUUGACUGCCAAUCCCCGGCAACGACGCCUAAAUUUGAUUAGCGCAAAACACACACUUAUAUGCUCGCUAGUCGAAUAUAGAAAAAUAUAAUAUCGUAUCCGCAUAGAUUAGAGUUAAACAAUAUUAUCGUAGUUUAUAGCUAGACUGCUAUCCAAGCUGAUCAACAAUUUAGAUUUGUGUGAUUAAAACUAAAAUUAACUAAGAGUCUAAACUAUUGGCUAAUGACAAUCCACAUAAGUAAUGAGCAAAGAAGGUUAUCAAUUGGGAGAAGAAAGGGUUGAUAUGAUAGGUGCAAAAUAAUUAUUUGAGAUCUAACUCUUGAUAAUUCACUUCUAAUAUUCAAGUGAGUCUCUCGAAUUCACUUGGUUAUUAGUUCAAUUGUUUAGUAGAAACUCCUCUCUCGAUUAAGUCUCAACCUCACAAGAUGAACCAAUUUAAGAUCAUGAGGAUAAGCAGGAAUUCGUAGUAGAUUGGUUUUUAGGAGAACCUCUCCCGAUUAUCCUCCUAACUAAGUUUAAUCAACAAUUCAACUAGCUUCUUUCGAUUACUAAGAAGAAUUAAUGACUUCAACCAAUAAAAUAUAAUGCAAGAUAUCACAAGUUAUUCCACUCUCGAUUACAUUAACAAGUGCAUAUAGAUGCAAUGAUUAAAAUAUGCAAAACAAUUCAAUACAUAAAUCUAGAGCUAUAAUCCACAAACAAAUAUCAAUACACCAAAUCCAUCAAACCCUAAAGAGAACUACUUCAUAGAUAUGGGGCAAUUCAUCACAAAUAUAUUUAAAUUAAAGGAAAAUAUAAAACGAUCCAAACACUUUUCUUGAGUGAGGAUUCAAUGAUAAAAUCCUUGUGCUUUUGCUUAUCCACCUCCUCCUUAGCUUCCUUAGGUCUUAGAUGUAUCAAAAGUCUAGAAAAUAACAUUUUAACAUGUAUUUAUACAAAGUAGGGUCAGGCCCAGACGAAAACACCUUCUCCUAUGCGAAAUUGGUAUGGGGUGACGCGCCAGGUAGGGAGGUUGUGGGAAACUUCAGAAAGUUUGUAAUUUGACAGGAGCAGAAAAAUGGGCAGCAGCAGCGCCCUACACACCGCGAAUGUGGAUAAUUCUUAGAGUACAAAUUUUUCUUGCAUUUCUGCUAUCCACACGUGAUUCUCGGCCCCCAAACUCGAUCUCGGCUUAAUCCCUUGGGAUUUUACUUAGGCUUCAAAGCUCCAAAUAGCUCGAAUUAAUUCCAUAACAUCUACACCAUCUAGAAUCACCCUUACAAAGCAUAAAAUAGAUAAUUAGUGUAAAAUACUAGUGAUUAAAAGUCAAACUCAAUUAAAGUAUAGUAAAUUAGAGUGCAAUAAGUGACUAAAUACAAGAUUAUAGCCUACCAUCAUACAUAUUGGCUUAUUCUCACAGCUGGGAGGAUCCUGAGCAACACUUGAGGAUCAUGCUCUAGACUUUGAGGGAGAAGAAACUAUAUGCUAAAUUCUCCAAUGUGAGUUUUGGCUCGAUUCAAUGGCAUUCUUAGGCCAUGUGAUUUCUAGUGAGGGGAUUAAGGUGGAUUUGAAGAAGGUCAAGGUAGUUCAGAGUUCGCCCAGGCCGUCUUCUACAACUGAGAUCUAGAGUUUUCUAGGCUUGGCUGGUUAUUAUCGUCGUUUUCUGGAGGGUUUUUUUAUCUAUUACAGCUCCUUUGACCAGAUUGAUCCAAAAGGGUUCCCCAUUCAAGUAGUCUGAUGAGUGUGAGGAGAGCUUUUAGAAUCUUAAGACUACCUUAACCACAACUCCCAUUCUAUUUUUACCUUUAACAUCAGGUUCUUAUGCAGUUUAUUGUGAGGUUUCAUGGAUUGGCAUUAGGUGUGUAUUGAUGCAUGAGUAUAAAGUGAUUUCUUAUGCUUCGUGUAAGUUGAAGCCCCAUCAGAAUAACUACCCAGAACAUGAUUUAGAAUUGGCAGCCAUUCUACAACAUUGAAGAUUUGGAGACACUAUCUCUACGGCGUGUCUUGUGAGGUAUUCACAGAUCACAGGAAUCUACAACACUUGUUUAAGUAAAAAGAUCUAAACUUGAGGCAACAGAGGUGGUUAGAGCUACUAAGGACUAUGAUAUCACCAUUUAUUAUCAUUUUGGGAAGGCUAAUAUGGUGGCUGAUACUUUAGUAUGAAGGCUGAGAGCAUAAAGAGUCUUGCUUUUAGUCUAGUUGGGGAGAGACCAUUAGCUUUGGAUGUUCAGGCCUUUGCCAAUAGGUUUGUGAGGUUGGAUGUUUUGGAGCCUAGCCGUGUCCUUUGCUUGCGUGGUUUCACCGUCUUCUUUGUUUGAGCAUAUCAAGGUGCAUCGGUAUGAUGAUACCUAUUUGCUUAUCCUUAAGGAAACAAUGCAAAACGGUGAUGUCAAGGAGGUGACUAUUUGUAAUGAUGGGCUGUUGAGGAUGCAAAGUCGGAUUUGUAUACCCAAGGUGGAUGGGUUGCAUGAGUUAAUUCUCGAUAAGGUCCAUAGUUUGUGGUAUUCCAUUCAUCCAGGUGUCCAGAAGAUGUACCAGGACUUGAGGCAGCACUAUUAGCAGAGAAGAAUGAAGAAAGAUAUUGUGGAUUAAGUGGCUCAGUGUUUGAACUGUCAGCAGGUGACAUACGAGCAUCAGAGAUCAGGUGGUUUGCUUCAGAGACUUGAUAUUCCAGAGUGGAAGUGGGAUUGUAUCACCAUGUAUUUUGUAGUUGGACUUCUACGAACCUUGAGGAGAUUCGAUGUAGUGUGGGUCAUUGUGGACAUACUAACCAGGUUUGCACAUUUCAUUCCAGUCAUGACUACCUACUCUUCAGAGCAACUGGCUCGGAUUUAUAUCUUGGAGAUUGUUCUCCUUCAUGGUGUGCCGGUGUCUAUUAUUUUAGAUCAAGGAAUGCAGUUCACAUUGCAAUUUUAGAGAGUCGUGCAGCGUGAGUUGGGCACAUAGGUCAAACUAAGUAAGGCAUUUCAUCCCCAGACGGACGUAGAGUCCGAGCGCACUAUUCUGAUAUUGGAGGACAUAUUAUGUGCAUAUGUUAUUGAUUUGAGGGUCCAUAAGAUCAGUUUCUACCACUUGCAAUGUUUGCCUACAACAACAACUAUUAGUCGAGCAUCUAGAUCGCUCUUUAUGAGGCCUUAUAUGGGAGGUGAUAUCAUUCUCCGGUUGGUUGGUUUGAGCCUGGGGAUGCUAGAUUGUUGGGAACUGAUUUGGUUCGAGAUGCUUUGGAGAAGGUAAGUUAUUACGGGAUGACUUCGUACAACGCAGUUCGGGUAGAAGAGUUAUGCUGACCGAAUGGCUCGUGUGUGGCAUUCAUGGCAGGUGAGAGUGCUCUACUUAGAGUUUUACCUAUGAAGGUGUGAUGAGGUUCAGGAAGAAGGGCAAGUUGAGCCCUUGGUAUAUUAUACCUUUUGAGUUCCUUGAGAGAGUGGGUAAGGUGGCCUACAUACUUGCAUUGCCAGCCAGCUUAUCCGGAGUUUACCCGGUAUUUCAUGUUUCUAUGCUCCAAAAGUUCUAUGGUGAUCCGUCUCAUGUAUUAGAUUUCAUUUUAGUAUAAUUGGAUAGGGAUUUGACCUAUGUUGAGGAGCCGGUGGUUAUAUUGGAUAGGCAGGUCUGGAAGUAGUCAAAGAACUUUGAUUCAGUGAAAAUUCAGCGGAGAGGUCAACCAGUGGAGGAGGCAACUUGGGAGACCAAGCAUGAUAUGCGUAGACGUUAUCCUUAUCUAUUUGGCACUUCAGAUAUGUCUCUAUACCCUUCGAGGAUGAAUGUUUGUUUAAGAGGGGGAGAAUAUAAAGACCCAGCCGGUCAUUUCAUGUAUUUGAGUCCCGUUUCUCUUUUUAAAGCUCCUCGUAUGUGUAUUUCUAGUUUUUAUUUCAGAGAUGUUUUGGAAUGAUUUAGAUCCACUGGUUCUUGGUUUAGAAGCUUAAGUUAGAAAUAUUGACCGAGGUUAUACUUUUGUAAAAACGAUCCCGGAACGGUGUUUUGAUUAUUCCAAUAGGUUUGUAUAGUGAUUUUAUACUUAGGCAUAUGCCCUUAAUUGAAUUCGGAAGUUCCUAGGAUGAUUUAGCUUGUUUAUCUGAAAGUUGGCAAUUUAAAGGUUUGGAAAUAUCCUAUGUUUGACCAUAGGUUGAUGUUAUGGUUAUCGGGUUUGAUUUUUGGUUUCGAGACAUGGAAUAUGUAUGUUUUAUCAUUUGGAACUUAUCUACAAAAUUUGGUGUCAUUUCGAGUUAGUUUGACUGAAAUCAAGCACUUGGUUGUGCUUCUAGCGUUUCUUAAAUUCGUUAUAAUUUUAUAUAUGUUUUGGUGUCUGAUUUGUGGUUUUGGAUGUUAUUUUGGUGAUUUGAUCAUAGGAGCGAGUUUGUAUGAUGUUUUUAGGCUAUGGUGGAGCCCCGAGGGCUCGUGUGAGUUUCUGACGCGUUUCAGAUUGAUUUGGUCAUGUUUCAUAUUUGCUGGUGAUGGGCAGAUGUUGCAGGUCUUGCAAAUGCGAGACACUGUUCGCAAUUGCAAACCUCACAUUUGCGAGGCAGGAGUUACAUUUGCAAGGUGGGCCACGAGGCUUUCAAGUUCUCUUUUGCAAAACCUCCAAAUCAAUCGAAUCACAGCGGCUGCCAAGCCUGCACGUACAGCCACGAACCACUUGUAUAGCCUUACCACACCAAAUGAAUUGAUUAUUUCCACAACCCCGCUGAUUCAAACCAUUACUAACUAAAUCAACUUCUUCCAAUUUACUCUUGACUUGCCUUGAAAAUAAUAUUUCUAUUCAAACACAUAACGAGCCCCAAACUACCUUCAUCCCGAGUGACCCAAGUCACAAGACCACAUCUUCUCAAUACCCAUCAGCCAUCUCAUACCAUCCUUAUGCACUCAAUAGUAUCUCCAGCUGAUACACUUGUUCUGGAAGACCUCCUACGAAUCCGAAGUUUUUUCUCCCAUUUCUCUAACACUGCACCAUAGACACGAUGAUUACAUAGAAAUUCCCCAAGUAUUCUUCACACUCUGUUGCAAAACCCAGUCCUCAGCCACAUAACAAAUCUAGAAUCCUUAAACACCGCACUUUAGUUCUUGAACCCUCUAGAACCAUUAUGGAGAGUCACUCUGUCUGACCUGGUCCCGAAUAUAUAACAAAAUUUUAGUGCUCUGCAAGCACAUGAACACUUCCAAAGAAGCAACUAGAUGAAUUCUUUUCCUUGCACAUCAUAUACACAAGAAGCAUAAAUUCUGAGUCAUCCCCAAUAUCUGCACAUGAAUCGAUAAGGUGAAAUGUAGCACAUAUACAUCAAACUCCUUACCCCAAAAUACCCUUGAUGUUUUUCUCCUCUUAGUUAUAAUUAAUCCACCAAUGCACUGAAAACCAGAAGAUGCACAGCCACACAACCACGUGAAUAAAUCGUAGACGGUGGGCUCCCCCACUUAGCAUUACACUACAAUUACAUAGAUCCAAACCCCAUAAUGUCAUAACUCAAACCAUAGGGCCAUGACAACCACCCAAUGCCUUACUCAACCAAGUACCAACAUCUUUCUUGUCAUACUAUCAUGGGUAAAUGAGCCAGAAAGGCUGUCAUGAGAUAACCAAAAUAAAAUAUAAGGAAAUAAUAAACAUAGGAUGACCCAACAUGAUAUACAAACUUAUACAUAUGACAUACGGUCCUAUAAGACCAAAAUAAUCAUUUUUACACUCAAAACAUAAGCAGACAAGGCCAUACAAUCAUCCAUAUACAUCACAUUUUCCUGCAAAACUCUGAGAGUACAUAAACAUCAUAAAGGCCAGGAUAGGGCCCCGCCAUACCAAUCAAUACAUGUCCAAAUCAUACUGACCAAAUAGGCAACCCCGGAGCAAGUGGAGUAUACCAACACCUUCCAAUGAGUUGGUAGCUUACUAGAAGGACUAUCAACCUGUCUAUCGAGACCUACAGGGAUAAAACACAACAUCCCUAGGCAAAAAGAAUGUCAGUAUGAAUAAAGUACCGAGUAUGUAAGGCAUGAUAACCAGUAUAUAAAAGACAUAAAAGAAAAAUGGAGUAAAGGACUCAACCUGUAUGUCUGGAUAGCUCAGUGAAUUAUGAAACCCUUAUAGUGUCAUGUAUAUGCGUAUAAAUGUCAUAUCAUGCAUAGGUAUAUGCAUACAUAACAUCCUCAAGCCUCUGAGGGCAUCUUAUCAUAUCAUAUCAGCCUCAGUAGGUGAAAUCAUCAAAGUAUACCAGUUGAUCAGGUGGUGGUACGUAUAUAACGUCGUAACCUUUCCCCAUACCCCACACCCCAUACCCCAUAUACAUAUAAUAUACGCGUAUAUAAUGCCAUUUGGUCAUGGGUCAAUGUACAUGUAUAAAUGAAUGUAAUGCAUUAGAAAGUAAGCCGAUAAGAUAUCUUGGAAUAUCAUAAGAUCAUUAUGCCUUCGGUUAAUAUCAUGAUAUUAACUUUAUCAACUUACGUAUUUUCUGAGACCUAUGAACAAACGAUAUAAUAAUAGGACACCUAGGGAAUCAAGAACAUAGGUACCCCUAGUACUUCUAAAUAGAGUCAUUUGUGAAAGUUGCGUGUUUGCUCGUUUCGUUUGUACCAUAUGGAUCAUGCCAAAAGGAAAGAAGGGAUAACCUUAACAUACCUUGUCACAAUCUAUCCAAUGACCACGUUGAACUUGUCUCAUCGCACUUUAAUCAACUGCAAUGAUAAUAAUACUAUUGCUAAGCUACGAAUGAUGCAACUAUCGUACAACGAACUGCAAUCUUAUUUUAUAUUAAAAUGGAUAACAUCUUCCCUAUUUUCCGUGCUUUCCCCAAGUCCAUCAAAACAACAAGAACAUGUACAACCUUCAACUAUAUAUCUUCAGCAACACAACACACCUAACAGCCCAACAAGACCAAUCAAUAUACACAACAACAAGUGCAUAUAUGUCACCAACAAAACUACUAUUUAAGAUGACGAACGGCUAGCUUGGGUUGGAACCAAACCCCAACUCCUUUUUCCAUCUCCCCUGUAAUUACAACACCAUCAAGAGGUCCAGCAUAUAAGAAUAUAUAUUGACAUGAAAUUCCAACCUUAUAUCCAUCAUAAAAGUAACAUCAAACAACCCAACAAGAUAUAACAACAACAUGGACAACUUCUAGGUAUUAUGUGGUUGCUUCUUCUACUAUUUACAAAAUCAUCAACAUACUCAACAUAUUAAAAAGCAUAAGAACAAUAAAAAAAUUAUAACCACGCUAUUCCCAAUGAUUUCCAGCCAUAUUAAGUCAUAUACACAAAAACUCCAAAAUAGUCCAAUAUGAGAUAACAACUUGUUAUACAACUUCAAGUUCUAUCUUGUAAUUCUUCAUCCAAAUAACUUAACCAACACAUAGAUAAGCUUAAGCCAAAGAAAUAUGGUGUUAUACAUACCUUAAAUAAUUAGAACAAAAUCGAACCAAAGCUUAACUUAGCUUACAACCACCCUUAAAUACAUCACAACACCAUAGAGACUCUCUUCUUAAUUUAGGCUAACGUUUGAGGCUAGGUUUAGGUAAAACCGCCUUGGAUUCGACUUGGAAUCCUAGGGAACUAUUAGGGAAGUGGUAAGAGAGUUUGGGAACUGUCCUUGGUCGAAAAUGACCAAAAAUGAGCUAUCCAACCCUUUUGAAAUAUUCAAGGGUCAUCCACCACCUAAGUGGGUCCCACUGGGAGCUGCUUGCAUGGUGUCACAAAAAACGUGAACUAUCUCCACUUGGAUGUCAUAUAGAUGAACAGUUUAAUGAUUUGGAACUAAACUCAUAGAUAUUCAAUUUGGAAGGUGGAUCAUCCCAUAAUUCCAAGUAUAUUGGGAGAAAAGCACAGCUACAUUUGACCUAAUGUUCAACACAUUUAUGAGUGUAACUUGUGAUGACCUUUGCCAACUUUUGUUUCACAACUUGCUUGACUUCAACACAUAAUACGCGACUAUCAUAUGACUAAAAUAACUCAUAAGUACAUGUUAUAUCAUUCCCAACUUGUUGAAUUUCGAGGAAACUUAUUUCCUUUAAUUCGUUUAGCUUCUAAGCCUUCUAACCCUCUUCGUACUUAUUAUUCAUGAUCUUAAAUAUUUGUCACCUCCAAGGUAACAUGAUUAACUUACUUUAUGUACUUUCAAAGACCAUCUCAUUUCUGAGACUACAUCAAUUGACUUACUACGUACUUUCACGAACGAAAAUAUGGGGAGUAACACACAACGACUUCUUCUUCCUAGUUAACAUGAUCCCACACUGUUACUCGACCAACUUCUAGCAAGCUCUUGUUGUACCAAUAAUAACACAUUCCGAAUUAUCAACUACCAUCACACACUCAACCUCCUAGGGGUCAACUGUCUUCUUCCAGCGACCCAAUAUCACAUUGCAAUACAUGUAUCCCAUGUUGGGCAGAAAGUAGAACUUUUCGUAGGAGCCUCAUCAAAACCACGCAACCGCUAACCAUCUCACAUGAGAUAGCCCACCUGUGUAACCUCAUAUUGACCUCCUCCAACGUCAUUGCUAUAGUUACAUCCAUCAUGAAAGUAGUUAAUCUCCCUAGGUCCACACUGAUUUGCCAGCCGUAAGAAUCAUUUCAUUCGUUAACCUCACCCGAAUGCCCAAUAAUAUGUUUCAAACUCGAAGCUGCAUUGCAUCCAAAACAAUAAUAAAAUACUCAUAUUUUCCUACAUUCCAAUCAAUCCCUUCUCGUCACAUUAUAAAUUUCUAAGCACAGAGUACACCUCAGAGAUCAUCUACCUCGAACCAUCAACACUGGAAAUGCCAAUUCGAUCCUGAAGUCACAACACACAACCAUCUCUGAUAACUUCCUCUCAGAUUCCAUCUCACAACACCAUUCCUAGAGGCAACAAAUGAAGACCAACACACCGAUGAGACUCAAUAUGUUCAAUAAAGGAAGGAGAUACGACAAUAUUAACAAGAAUUCCACAAAAUUCAGAAAUAUCAAAUUUCGACCAUAGGCAAUACCAACACUAGGCUGAAAUGACACAACACUCAUCUUCCAAGCAACAAUAAUGAUCCGCCUGCAUUUGUAGGGAAAAGCAUCCUACACCGCAUCUGUAGCAUCGUCACAGCAUGUUGGUUCUCAAUAACAACAAAUGCCCGACGUCACGUACGAAUGAGUAGGAAAGAUUUGAAGGCAUAAGCUUCAAUGAAAUCAAAUCGCACAAUGAAGAAUCAAGAAAGGGAAGUUCUCCUAACAACCAUGUAGCCUCUCAAAGAUAAGUACAGACGUCUCCGUACCGAUCCGCAAAACUCGACUAGACUUGCUCAUGACUCGUGAGACCUAAGUAAACCUAGUGCUCUUAUACCAAGCUGACACGACCCAAAAUCCACUAUAGGUCGUGAUGACGCACAACGUCUCCAUUAGGCAAACCAAUAGUGAACCAUCUAAUUAAUUAUUCAUUUUAUUACUUUGAAAUCAUAAGUUUUAUUAAGUAAAGGAAUUUAUGCAUGGGAAAUCAUAGGUACAUACAUCGUUUUAAGAAUUAAUAAGAAAAGGUGAAAAUAUUGUGCAAAUCCAUAAACAUUAACUAGAACAUUCCAAAGCCCAGUGUUACAAGUGCAAGAGCAUCUACUAGGAAGUACAAUAACAAUACAACAUAUGUCUGGAAUAUAAGAUACACAGGAUAAAGUAAAUAAUUAUGAUGGAGUCUUUGUAUGCUGUGAAUCGUAGCAUGAAAUAUAGCUCACCAUAAAGUCCCCUCGGCAACUGUGCCUACGCACCCAAAUUACCACCAAAUGAACCGGCCAGAUCUUGCACAUUUAGUGCAAAAGUGUAGCAUGAAUAUAUAAAUCAACGGAUACCUAGUAAGUAUCUAGCCUAACUCCAAAGAGGUAGUGACGAGGGGUCGACAUUGAUACUUACUAGUGGUCCAGUAAAUCAAAUUUAAUAAAUUAGACAAGUAUGAAACAUGGUAAGUAAACAAUGAGUAGAAAGUUUAGGGGAGUACAAAAAGCUUCAAUCAUGUUUAACUAAACUCUUAUAUUCCUUAUAAUCUCUUGAAUAUCAUAAUUGAUUAUCAUANNNNNNNNNNNNNNNNNNNNNNNNNCUUCUCGAAUUUCAAUUUUGACUGCGUGUACAAGGUAUAAUACAUAAAGUGAAGCUACUCAAGGCCUCAAACUAUCGAACGAUGUGCUAGAACUCAAACUGACUGAUCGGGUCAUUACAAAAAUACUACCCAAUAACUAAUAAUGAAGUCGAAUAUCAGGAGGUAAUUACAGGUUUGGAAGUUGCAAAAAUAUGGGGAUUGACCAAGCAGAAAUCAAAAGUGACUCACAACAUAUGGUAAAUCAAAUGCAAGGGAAUUAUGUGGCUAGAGAAACACAUAUGCAAUAAUAUUUGGAAAAAGGUAUGGGAAUUAUUGCAUUAGUUUAGUGUAUGGAAAGCUAUUCAAAUACCUAGAGAAGAGAAUGUGGAGGUGGAUGCAUUAGCAAAUCUAGGAUCAGUAGCUAAUGUGUCACAAUACGGAAAAUGCAAUCGUGCUGCACUUGUUUCAUUUACUGCUCGAUCAAGCCAAGAAUGAGGUAAAUUUCUAUAAUUUAACAUGGGAUUGGAGAAAUGAAUUUUUGAAUAAUCUACAGUAUGGAAUAUUACCUAUGGAUAAAGUGUUGCGAAUAAAAGCAGCUCGAUAUUGCUUAAUAGAAGGAAAUUUGUAUCGAAAAAUAUUUGGUGGACCUUUAUCCCGAUAUUUGGACCCUCACAAAGUGAAUACAUGAUGCAAGAGGUACAUGAAGGACAUUGUGAAAAUCAUGUUGGUGGAAGGUCAUUAGUAAAAAUGCUAAUAAGAGCAGGGUACUAUGCGCCAAAGAUGGAAGAUGAGGCAGAAAACUUCGUAAAAAGGUGUGAUAACUGCAAACGAUACGUAAAUAAUAUGCAUCAACCAGCAGAACUACUUCAUUUGAUUAUCACACUGUGGUCGUUUAUGAAGUGGAAAAUGGAUAUCGUAGGUCCUUUGCCCCAACCACCAGGAAAGGUAUAGUUUUUAUUAAUUUUGGCUGAUUAUUUUUCUAAGUGGGUAGAGGCUGGUGCCUUCAAACAUGUAUAAGAAACAGAAGUUAUCGACAUCAUUUGGAGGAAUAUAAUAUGUAGAUUUAGGGUUCAAAGGGAAAUUGUAUGUGAUAAUGGGCCACAAUUUGAGGGAGCAAAGGUCACUGAUUUUUUCAAAGGAUGGAAAAUUAAACGGAUUACUUUGGCACCGUAUUAUCCCGUAGCUAAUGGACAAGUCGGCAAAUAAAAUUAUUUCCAACAAUAUGAAGAAACGUUUGGAAGAAUCGAAAGGCAAGUGGUUUGAUGUACUACCUAGAGUAUUAUGGGCCUACGGGAGAACGACAAAAAUAAGCACGAGAGAAACUCUAUUUCCACUUAUUUAUGGUACUAAGGCAUUAAUUCCAUUGGAAAUAGGGGAACCAAGCAUGAGAUUCGAGCAUACAAAUAAAGUAUCAAAUGAGGAAAAACAUCGUACAAAUUUGGAUUUGACAGUGGAGUACAGGUAAGCAGUCUUGAUACAGAUGGCAGCACAAAAGCAAAGGAUUGAGCGAUAUUACAAUAGAAGGGUGAUUCAUAGAUAUUUGAAGAUUGGCGACAUUGUCCUUAGGAAGGUAUUUCAGUCAACACAUGAGGCAAAUGCAUGGAAAUUGAGUCCGAAUUGGGAAGGGCCAUAUCUGUCACGACCCUAAAACCGGCCUAGUCGUGAUGGUGCCUAUCAUGAAACUAGGCUAGUGAUACAAAUCCCCAUUCAAACUAGUAUUUGAUAAAAAGACAUUUUAAGCUAUAAAUUUACUAAAAUCCCAUAACAUGCGUCUAAAUAAAAAGUGUGGAAACAACACAACCCUGACAUCGGGGUGCCACAAGUUACGAGCAUUUACUAAGGUUUGAAUACAACGAAGACUACCACACUCUGGAAAAUACUAAAACAGUCUAAGGAAGAUGAGAGGGAGAAGAGCAAGGCUGAACGCCAGGCAUCUACCUUGCUAACUCCGAUGAACCUGCCACUAAGUAAUCAACACCCGCUACUGGGUUCAGAUAUACCUGAAUCUGCACACAAGAUGCAGGGAGUAAUGUGAGUACGCCAACUCAGUAAGUAAUAAAAGUAAAUAAUGACUGAGCAAUAAGAAAAAUACAUAAUCCACAUCAUAACACCACAGUAAGUACAGAAUGUUUCCAAAACAGUAUAUAAAUAAAGUCAUCUCGUUAAAAAUUCCAUUUCAGUAAAUAUCCUUUGAAAAAUAUUUUUGCAAUAGUUUCAAUAGAGAUUCAAUGAAGUUUAAAUAAAAAUGAUGAAAGUCAUUAAUAGCUCCUCGGGCAAGACAUCUAUCAUAAAUCGCCACUCAGGCAUAACAUCAAUCAGAACUAGCCCCUCGGACUACCUCACAAUCACUCGUAAUCAGCCCCUCGUGCACAACAUGUAUCAUGAACAGCCCCUCGGGCAACAUAAUAUCACUCACUCAGAGUACCCGCGCUUAGUAGGGGUGUUCAGACUCUGGAGGGGCUCCUACAACCCAACCGCUAUAACAAGCCAUCUCGUGGCAUAAAUCAGUCAGGCCCUCGGCCUCAUAACAACAAGCCACCUUGUGGCAUAAAUCAAUCGGGCCCUCAGCCUCACAAUAUCAUGAAUCACUAAUAACCUGAUGCGGCAUGUAGCCCGAUCCCAUAAUAUCCUCACAACAUAGGCCCUUGACCUUACUCAGUCGAAAACCUCUCAAGCUACUCGGGCUAACAGCAAAAAGGGUGCUCAGCCAAAAAUAUCAUUUUAUAUAACAAAUGGAGUAAAUAAAAAUGAGUUAUGAAAUCAGUAAUAGUAUAACAUGUGUGAGUACGAAUAUUAAAUCAAAACAGUGGAAAGUAGUAGUAUAAAGCCCCUAAGGGUCCAAACAGCUUGGCACGAAGCCCAAAUAUGGCAUUCAGCCCAAAACAUAAUAAUACUUUCCAAAGCACAAUAGUAGCAAAUAGUUUUUCAAUCAAAUAUGUGACUUAAUAGUCAUAUAGGACGGACCAAGUCACAAUCCCCAAUGGUACAUGCCCCCACGCUCAUCAUCUAGCGUGUGCAUCACCUCAAAGUAGUGAAACAAUGUAAAAUUCGGGGUUUCAUACACUCAGGAUAAGAUUUACAGUCAUUACUUACCUCAAACCAGACCAAUCUCUAACCCGCGAUGCCUUUGCCUCUCGACUCGGCCUCUAAAUGCUCCGAAUCUAACCAAACUCAUUAUUACAUCAUUAAUACAUGCUAAAGGAACAAAGCCCAUGCAAAAAUUCUCAAAUUAAAUCAAGAAUCCCGAAAUUGGCCAAACCUGACCCCCAGGCCCACGUCUCGGAAUUAGAUAAAAAUUACAACACUAGAAUCCUUAUCCUCUCACGAGUCUAUACAUACAAAAAUCAUCAAAAUCGGACCUCAAAUGGCCCCUCAAAUUCCAAAUUUAAACUUUCAAAUUUCAAGCCCUAAUCCCCCAAUUUUCACCCUUAAAUCCCACAAAUUUCAUGCUUAAUCAAGUGAAAAUCGCCAUAGAAUCGAGUUUUACGUUGAAAAACAUUACCUCAACGAGUUUCCCCUUGAAUCCCUCUUCAAAACCCUCCAAAAGCUCCAAUCCCAUCUUCAAAAAUGGUGGAAAUGGGCAAACAUUCGUAAAAGGUUUAAUUUAUACCUUCUACUCAGGCAUUUCUGCAUCUACGACUCAAAUCACACACCUACGGGACCGCACUUGCGGUCCAAAUGCCGCAUCUGCGCAUUUCACUUAAGUCUCCAGAUUCCUCACCUGCGCCCCAGGCGUUGCACCUGCGGGCUCGCAGGUGCGGUCAAAUCCUACGCUCCGGCGACAAAUUUUGCAUCUGUGGUUACUUCCCGCGUCUGUGAUCAUCGCACCUGCGAUCCCCACUGUGCAGGUGCGGAAACAACAGAAACAACAGCUUCACCUGCAAAAUCCCACUUCCAAACUUCUCCGAUAACCAUCAAAAAUCUUCCCGAUCCCCUCGGGGCCUCAACCAAAUAUACCAACACGUCACAUAUCACAUUCAAACUUACUCCAGCCUUCGGGACACUCAAAACAACAUCAAAAUAACGAAUCGCCCUUGGAUUCAAGCCUAAGGAUUUCCAAACUUUCGAAUUCUGCAAAUGAUGCCAAAACCUAUCAAACCUCAUCUGAAUGAUCUAAAAAUUUUCACACACAUCACAAUUGUCACUACAGACCUUCUCAAAUUUCCAGAAUUUUAUUCCGACCUCAACAUCAAAAUCCAUUAUCGACGGAAAAUGCCAAAUUUCCAAUUUUGCCAACUGAAGCCUAAUUCUACCACGGACCUCCAAAUAACAUUUCGAACAUGCUCCCAAGACCAAAAUCACCUAACGGAGCUAACUAUAUCAUAAAAAUCAAAAAUCCGAGAUCGAAUACUAAAAAGUCAAAACAUGGUUAAACCUUUCAAAUUUAAAGCUUCAAGCUGAGAAUUAUUCUUCUAUCUAUUCCGGUUAACCUGAAAACCAAAACCGAGGAUCUACAUAAGUCAUAAUACAUCAUAUGGCGCUAGUCAUGCCCGAAAACUGGUGAGCGAAGUGCAAAUGCUCAAAACGACCGGUCGAGUCAUUACAUCCUACCCAACUUAAACAUACCUUCAUCCUUGAAUGUGCCUAGAGUUAUUCCAAAAGCCAACAAAUCGCUGUAUAACCUUAUCAUGCACUUACCCAGGGGUGAUCCCACAUCACCCUAUCUCAUAUAGGUCCGAUAGCACAAUAUAUCUGGAAUUUUACAAUCCAACCUAGCCCAUAAACCUUAGAACCAAAUUUCCACUUCCAAAAUUAUCUAUAAGAUCAGAAUCUCACAUCUACACACCGAAUAAGUCUGAACACGCCGUAUCAAGCCAUAACCAUAAUUCAAGAUAGAAAUCAUAUGAUAUACCACACAACUCAAACACUCAUAGCGAUAACUUCGAAUCACAACAACUGCCUAAACAACCCAAUUCCGGUAAUAAACCUCUUAUGAAAUAAAGCUUCACUCCAGAACUUUCAUAUAUUUCAAAUGAGGAAAGAAACACAUAGAAAUCAUAACCAUUCCACAGAUCAACCAGUCAUGGAGUUCCCUAUCCUUCUGCAAGGACUGUAGUAAAUUUCUAGCCGAAUCCUGAUAUUAUCCUUCCAAUAUGAUGUAAUCGAAUCCGAUAGUAUUCAUUCUAGAUCCCAAUGCACUCAUCUCAUCCAACACGACUACUUUAGUGACAUGAUACAUCUAUACAAUCUAAAGCCACAACCCGUGCAAUCCGCACACGAAAAAGCAACUUUCCAAAUGUACUCAAAUCAUGGAAAAUAACUCAAAUUAGAGAUCUGUACUGCAAGCUCACCAGUACUAUCACAACAGGAUGCUAAGAACCCGCCACACACCGUAGAACCAGAACACAUGAAUCUAACCCAAAGGAUCAUACCUCCACAUAACUUUACGAAAAUGCGUGACCCUAUACAAACAAUGGUCCACAUGAAACACCUUACGUCACCAUGCUCAAAAUCAACUACCACACGUAAUUUGAUGCCUAGUACCAAAAAUUAAUCACCACAACCACGGAGAAGAAAAUGACACAAUGCCAUAUCAGUCCGAAAGAACAUAUCCAAUGCGCAAUCAAUCAUGCAAAACCCAAAUACCCGUCUCAUUCAAAUUCCACUAUAAAGCUCCAAAUAGAACCCUAUCACUUGUGCAUAAAAUCAACGAAUCACAGCUCCUCGCAACACAGAAAGGUAACUCAUAGAUCUCUCCCGAAUGCGAAUAUGCUCAACAACAAUCGAACGACACCUCCCUCAACAAUAGCAAUUCGGAAUCAACAAAGUCAACUCAAUGUAGAACACACAUCCAUAUUGGCCUACCAAUGAACACCUUAUCAAGGAGUUCCUGAAGUUGCUCCUUCAACUCCUUUAACUCCUCGUGUGCCAUAUGAUACGGUGAAAUAGAAAUGGUCCGAGUGACCAGCACCAAUUCAAUAUCGAAAUUAAUAUCCCUGUUCGGCGGCAUGCUCGACAGGUCUAUAGGAAACACAUCCAGAAAAUCUCUCACCAUCGGGACUGAAACAAUGGUAAGAGUCUCUACACUAACACCCCUCACAAAGUCCAAAUAAGAAAGACAACCCUUCCCAACCAUCCGUUGGACCUUUAAAAAAUGAAAUCACUCUACUAGGAAUAUAAUCCAUCAAACCUCGCCACUCAAUCUGGAAAGAGCAUAGCCCACAUCAUUGUCUUACCGUAAUAGUCCAGAAUAGCACGACACGGAGACAACCAAUCCCCACCUAAUAUCACAUCAAAAUCCACCAUACUAAGCAACAAAGGAUCAACUCGGGUCUCGAAACCCCCGAUAGCCACCACACAAGACUGAUAUACAUGGUCCACAACCACGACAUAACCUAUUUAUGAGAACUCCAAUCUCCAAACAUAUAAAGCACUCGAAUCACUAUAUCCGACCCCAACUCCACCGCCCGAACAUCUCACGAACCUCUGAUACUCAAUCAUUCCAUGAGGGAUACUCCUAUAAUCUUUUUGUGCCACUAAUCAACCUCGAAUAUUAGUCGUCGAUCAAACCAGAGAGUGCCACAUUACUAAUAAAGUACCCUUAACUCAAAUACAUUGCCCUUUUUGAAAAUGCAUACCCUCAUCAAGCCACACCAACUAGUAAUAUCUUUUACCUAGUCAUCUGAAACUAUCCAUGCUGCCUAAGAAUUCAUGACCUUCAUUUCGGAACUGAACCGUGACCUUACACAUGAAAUUCUCAAUCCUACACAACAUACCGCAUAUUCCAUGUCAUCCCAUGAUAAACAUGGGAACUUCAUAAUCCAUUCUGAGCCACAAGAAACUAUGUACUCAACUAGCCAAGAACUUUCCAUCUGAUCCCAUCUAGAAGAAAAUCACUAUACAUCACACGCUCCUCAUGCCAUUAGAAAUAUAUAUCUCUAACCAUGGUAGAAACCAUCAAGAACUCUCCGAAUCCCAUUUGCACAAAACCAAGCUGUCAGGACUCAAUCCUUUUAACUCAACCAAGUUAUGCAGGUCACCAAAAACCCAAGAGCAUUGCCAUGAAACAGCUGUAGAAACUUAUUACCUCAUAAGCACCCAAAGAACUAAUCAUAUCCCUUACCAUGCCGAUCCAAACUACUACCAAACUAUCCUAUUUAUCCAAGUUCCUUCUAAAUUACCUUCAAUUUUAUACUUCUCCUCACCAUAACACUACAAUCCUCAACUCAAACUCUCCACCAUAUUCAAAAUACCUACCCUGAAGGGACUUCCUGUGAAUCCAAAACCAUUACCUUCACCUUCUUGAUAUUGAUAUGCAAAAUCCAUAAUUGAUAUAGAAAUUCCACAAGUCUUGACACCCUCCAAUGUAAUCCUCAGUUUCUAGCCAAAUACACAUCUUGAAGAAUUCCCAAUUGUUACAUGUAAAUCUUGAACCCAUCAGAACAUUAUCGAGAGUCGUCCACUAUACUUAGGUCUCAAUUAGGCUGAUCAAACUGUCCGAACGACCUGUGCCCUAUUAGCACAACAACACCUAAGGAAUUAACCCAUUCUUCUAAGUAGCCGAGUGAUAUCCUACUCCAUACCCGUUACAUCCCUUACGACAACAACUAAUUCAUCCAACGAUUUCUCAUAUACCCACAAAGCAUAACACACCACUAUCCAAAAUUUCCUUUACUCGAGUCAUCUUCGAUCUCGACCUCUAUAAGCCACGACUGAUUUGACAGUAUACCACAAACUAAAACUAAUACGACACUUAGCCGUGCAAUCAACUUAUCAAUAGUAGACUCCCUCACUUAGAUCUAAGGCAUAGGUCAAAAAACACAAAAACUCACAAUGCCCAUACUCCACUACUACCAUAAUACUAUAGGGAGAUUAAACUAAAUCCUUCAUAUAGCUCAUGCAACACAAUCAUCUUGUACUUCAUCUGCAAUCUCGCAUUUACCCUCGUACAGUCAAGACCACUAUCAUAUGCGAUCUAACCUCAAAUUGCAACACAUAUAUUUCACUGGUAAAAGAGGAGUUACCACAAACAACAUAGGGAUCACACGCUUUCAGGACACCCCGCAGGAGAUAACCCACCUGCUUCAUCUCAAACUAACCAUCUCUUUAUACCUUUCCACCAUCAUAAACAUCACGCAAUCACUUAAUCUUUCUGAGUCUGAACUCAAAUCAUGACAUGAAAUCUACUUCAUUCCCCAACUAUACAACAUGAAAAAAUCCUUCAACACACCCAUAACUCGGGGCUACACAUCAAAUCAAGAUGGAAAUCAAGUACCAAAUAGUUCUUCUUAUCCUCAAGCAGACCCUUCUCGUCAUAUCCAAAUCAUAUGAACACAUCUUGCAGUCACCUCAUACUCCUCAUGUAGCCAUCUAGCCAUACUCCUACUAAUAGGGACACUACCAAACAUAUAAAUCCAAAAUCAAGUGCUCACACAGUCAACGCCUCAGUGCUCAAUCUGCAGGCGAAACCCGACCUCAAGUCCUCUAGACUGGCUAAACAUCAACACACAGAAAUCACAUCUUACCCCUCGAUCAGAGAAUCACAAGCCAACGAUGCACAACUAAUGCCGAUCUCUCAUGCAUGCAUACGAACGUGUGGAAGGAAUUUUAAGAGUUACAUUUCAAGCUGAAUCAAUGUCGCACGAUAAAAAUUCAAGAAUGUGGAAUUUUCCUAAAGGUUCUGCAGCCUCUCAAAGAUAAGUGCAGACGUCUCCAUACCGAUUUGUGAGACUCUACUAAACCUGCUCAUGACUAGUGAGACCUAUGUAACCUAGGCUCUGAUACAAACUUUUCACAACCCUAAAACUAGCUCGGUCGUGAUGGCGCCUAUCAUGAAACUAGGCCAGCCAACACAAAUCCCAAUUCAAAUCGUUAUUUCAUAAAAAGACAUUUUAUGCUAUAAAUUUACUAUAAUCCCAAAACAUGCAUCUAAAUAAUAAGUGCGGAAACAACACAAGCCCGACAUCGGGGUGUCACAAAUCACGAGCAUCUACUAAGGUUUGAAUACAACGAAGACUACCACAGUCUGAAAAAUACUAAAAUAGUCUAAGGAAGAUGAGAGGGAGAAGAGCAAGGCUGCGAACGCCAGGCAGCUACCUUGCUAACUCCGAUGAACCUGCCACUGAGUAAUCAACACCCGCUAUUGGGUUUAGAUAUGAGUACGCCAACUCAGUUAGUAAUAAAAAUAAAUAAAGACUAAGCAGUAAGAAAAACACAUAAUCCAUGUCAAAACACCACAUUAAGUGCAGAAUGUUUCCAAAACAUUAUAUAAAUCAAGUCAUCUCGUUAAAAAUACAAUUUCAGUAAAAAUCCUUUGAAAAAUGUUCUUCCAACAGUUUCAACAGAGAUUCAAUGAAGUUUAAAUAAAAAUGAUGAAAGUCAUUAAUAGCUUCUUGGGCAAGAAAUUUAUCAUAAAUAGUCCCUCGGGCAUAAUAUCAAUCAGAACCAGGCCAUCGGGCUACCCCACAAUCACUCGUAAUCAGCCCCUCGGGCACAACAUGUAUCAGGAACAGCCCCUCGGGCAACAUCAUAUCACUCACUUAGGUACCCACGCUUACUAGGGGUGUUUAGACUCCGGAGGGGAUCUUACAGCUCAAGCGCUAUAACAAGCCAUCUUGUGACAUAAAUCAGUCAGGCCCUCUGCCUCAUAACAACAAGCCACCUUAUGGUAUAAAUCAAUCAGGCCCUCGACCUCACAAUAUCAUGAAUCAGUAACAACAUUCUGCGGCAUACGGCUCGAUCCCAUAACAUCCUCAUAACACAGGCCCUCGGCCUUACACAGUCAGAAACCUCUCAAGCCACUCGGGCUAACAGUGAAAAGGGUGCUCAGCCCAAAAUAUCAUUUUAUAUAACAAACGGAGUAAAUAAGAUUGAAUUAUGAAAUCAGUAAAAGUAUAGCAUGUCUGAUUACAAAUAUUAAAUCAAAAAAGUGGGGAGUGGUAGUAAAAAGCCCCUAAGGGUCCAAAUAGCUUGACACGAGGCCCAAAUAUAGCAUUCAGCCAAAAACAUAGCAAUACUUUCCAAAUUAUAAACCCAUUUUGAGAAUGUAUAUUAUAAACCCAUUUUGACAUAGCAAUAUACAUUCUGUUGGCUAGCCUAAUGUGAAUGUAUAUUUUAUACCAAAUCAGAUAUGCUUAUUAGCAUAACAUCGCUUAUGGACGUGUCUUUGGGCGUAGUGGAUGGUAUUCCGGAUGUCGUCUAUUUUAAGUGCUACUUAUUUAUGCCCCGUAGGUUGUGAUAUGACUUGAUUAUUCACACGCGUGCUAUGAUCCUGUGUAACUUGUUGUUUAUUGAACCUUAGCUGAGCUCGAAUUUUGUAGCGCAUGACACUAUCCGUAUCCCCAGGGUUGUAUUUAUAUACUUGGCAUGCUCGUGGCGAUAUUCGAGCAUUUUGUGAGUUUUAGCAUUAUGUCUUGAUGGGUAUUUUCCUACUGAUUCUUAUGUGUGGAUCGGGUGGCACACUGCCACAAGUAUCAUGUAUGGAUCGGGUUGCUCAUCGCAAUAGUGAGAUAUUGAGUACAGUUCCUUAUACCUAUUUUGUGUGCCUCGUUUCUCAUCUAUAAGAUAGGCUCAUAGCAUCUAUUUGUCCAUUUUCUUUAUUAUGCAGGCUGGGUAGUUCUUUGCCAGACUUCAUUCUUCCUUAUAAGUCAUAUUUGAGUUAUAGCUUAUUGGCGCAUUGAUGUCGUCAUAAGAGAUUUUAGGAGGUUUUUGAUGUGUCUUUUCGAUUGAGAAGCUUGUACUGGGUAAGACAAGGUGGUUGGACCUGGAGUAAGUGCAAUCAAAUUUAGAUAAGGUAUAUUAGAGGGAAGAUUCCACUAUUCAGUUCAGAACGAAGCUAGGGCUCUCGUUGAGCAGGGAAAUUCCAUGGAUUUUUGAUUUGGCGGGUGGGUAUGAGAUACACGUCUCUUUCAUCGUCAGAUUAUUGUGAGGGUUGGAACAUUGCUUAUAUGUGUUAUGAGGUAUACUACAUGUAUCAUGUUAGUAAUUUUGCAGCUUCUAUAGUUGUAGAAUGUUAUUAUGGGCAUACAAAUUAUGCGGUGCAUUGUGUGGUUUUAACAUGGGUGUAUGAUCAUAUUUGGUACAACGGGUUGAGAUUUAUAUGCUGUUCGUCUACUAGAGUAAGGUCUCAUAGAGAAUCCCAGAUGUUGGUUCUAAGGUUUGUGGGCUAAGGUAGCAUGAAAGAUCUUCAGUUUGGUUUGAACUAAUAUUCUCACAUGGGUUGUGGUGGCACAGGUAGGUGUGAGAGGUAUUAAACAAUGAUGUUGGGCAACUCUGGAACGGUUCUUGGUAUGUUCGAGGAUGAACUUAUGUUUAAGUUGGGGAAAUGUAAUGACCUGAAUAGUCGUUUUGAAUUCUAGCACGUCGUUUGGCAGUUUGAGGUCUUGAGUAACUUCACUUUAUGUAUUAUGACUUGUAUGCGAAGUCGGAAUUGAAUUUCAGGAAGUCGGAGUUGAUUUGGAAGGAAAAUUCUCAAUUCGGAAGCUUUAAGUUGGAAGUUGAUCAAGGUCUGACUUUUGUAUAAACGACCUCGGAAUUGGGAUUUGAAGGUUUCAAAAGGUUCAUAUGAUGAUUUUGGACUUGGUCAUAUAUUCGGGUUGAGUAUCAGAUGGUCCGAGAGCAUUUUAAUUUUUACUGUAGGAAAGUGGGCAUUUUGAAGGUUUUUAGAAUUUCCUAAGUUUGGUUGAAGAUGACCUUGGUUUUAUCCACGUCUGUUUGGGAUUCUGAGCCUUAGAAUAGGUGCGUAUCAUGAUUUAUGACUUGUAUGCAAAAUUUGGCAUCAUUUUGGAAUUUUUAAAUAUAAUUUGGACGCGUCCGUCGAAGUUUGAAUUUUUGAAAGUUGAAAGAAAAAUUUUGGUCAUCGAUUUGUCAUUUUGAUGUGUUUUGUGGCAUUUCAACCCUUUCGAUAAGUUUGGGUAUUGAUACUUAUUGGAGUGAAUGGAUGGGGUCCCCGAGGUCUCGGGUGUGAUUCAGAGUGGUUUCGGAUUAUUUUUUCUUAUUUCGCAACUGCUGGUGCUGGUGUCUGGUUUUAUUCUUCACGAAGAUGAAGGGUCUCACGCGUUUGCGAAGAAGGAUUUGAGUUGGGGGCCUUCUAUUCUAUGCAUUUGUGAUAGGGAAGUCGCAUUCCCAAAGUGUUGGGCAGUGGUUCUCCGCGUUCGCAAUCGCCUAGUUGCAUUCACGUAAAUGAAGCUAGCCUGCUAGUGGAAUUAGGUCUUUGCGUUCGCAAAUAUGUAGUCGCGUUCGUGAUGGACAAGCUAGUAAAGCUUUGUGUUCGCAGGCCCUAUCUCGUGUUGGUAGGCCCUGUCUCACGUUCUCAUAGAGGACUUGGGGAGCAGAAGAUGGUAGUGCUUUGCGAAUGUGAGGAACUUGCCGCGUUCAAGAAGAAGGUCGGGCUGGGCAAUGAUGUUUUAAAAUCAGGGGUUUGGCUCAUUUUCACUUCAUUUCUUCCAUAAGAGCCGACUUUGGAGCAACUUUGGAGUACCAUGUUCAUUAUCAAUCAUGAGGUAAGUGAUUUCUUGGCGUUGUGAGUUAAAUAGAUGUAUUUAGGCUUGUAAAUUCAAGAAUUUAAGUGAAAAAUGUGGGAUUUUUGGCUGAAGACCUAGAAAUCAUGUUUUUGGAUUUUGACUACGAAAUUGGAUAUGGAAUUUGGAAUAAAUUAUAUAUUUGAGUUCGUGGCGCUAUGGGUAAUGUUUAUCUUUGAAAGUUUUUGGAAAUUGGGCACGUGGGUCUAGGGUUGACUUUUUGAGCAGAGUUGGAAAUUGUUAUAAAUUGAUUAAUUAUGAGUCUUGAAGUAUAUUUUUAUUAGUUUUCACGUUGUUUGACUAGUUUCAGAUCGAUGGGCAUCGGUUAUGGAACUUCGGAGCGAUGUAAGUCUCUUGUCUAACCUUGUGAGAGGGAAUUUACCCUAUAGGUGCUAUAUUUAUUAUGUGCUACAUGUUGUGGGAGCUAAGCAUGUAUGAGGUGACGAGUGUCCGUGCGUACACUAGAAAUCCUAAUUAUGUCGGGGUAGACUUAAACUCACGCGUACUAUUUGAGUUAUUCUUGCCUGUUUAAUUACAUCAAUUCUCAUUAUGACAUGAGACUAGACUUGCAUAGAGUAAUGGACUCGCUAAUUUAGAUAUUUGACGAGCUACUUGAUUAGCCGUAGAAAUUGUACUUCUCUUACGGAUUUUUCCCACAUUGUGCGUAUUCAUCAGAAAGUUUCUCUUGAAUUCGAUAACUCACAUGUAUAUUCGUGAGUGAGGUCAUAGACCAGUAAAAGCUUCACACUCUUAUGGGAUUGGGCCGUUCGCUUUGGCAGGAUAUUGUAACACACUCUUAAGAGAUCAGGCCGUUCACCUUGGAAAUAUCAUGUAUCAUACUCUUAUGGGAUCGGGCUAUUCGCUUUGGCAGUUCUAUGAAACACUCUUAUAGGAUCAGACCACUCUCCUUGGUAGAAUCGUAUGAAAUACUUGAUAAGGAAUCCGUAUACUCAUGAGUUUCUAGACUUGAGAUGUGACCCUUGAUUUGGUAUUGACCAUUACGUAUUCCAUUUGAGGAGGUACCCGAUAAUUGAGGACUUUCUUUUCAUUGCUCAACUGUAGACCAUAUUAUUUGCAUAUAUAUAUAUGUACUCAUUGUUUACUUACAAUGUUUCAUACUUGUCUACGUUAUUAUAUUUGAUUUACUGGACCAGUAGUAAGUGUCAAUGUCGACCCGUCGUCACUAGCUCUUCAGGGUUAGGCUAGAUACUUACUGGGUAUGCAUUGAUUUACGUACUCAUGCUGCACUUCUGCACUAAUUAUGUAGGAUCUGACAGGUUCAUUUGGUGGUCAUUUGGGCGUGUAGGCAUAAUUUCCGAGGGGACUUUAUGGUGAGUUGCAUUCCAUGCUACGAUUCACGACACACUAAGUCUCCAUCAUAAUUAUUUACUUUAUCCUGUCUAUCUUGGAUUCCAGACAAAUGUUGUAUUGUUAUUGUACUUCCUAGUGAUGCUCAUGCACUUGGGACACCGAGUUUUGAGAUGUUCUAGUUGAUAUUUAUGGAUUUGCACAAUAUUGUCACCUUUUAUUCUUAUAUCUUGCUAACUACGUAUGUACCUAUGAUUUCCAAUGCGUAAAUUCCUAUACUUAAUGAAACUUAUGAUUUCAAAGUAAUAAAAUGAAUAAUUACUUAGAUGGUUCACCGUUGUCUUGCCUAAUGGCGAUAUUGGGUGCCAUCACGGCCUAUAAUAGAUUUUGGGUCGUGAUAAUUUUAUUCGUUGCCUAAUAAUUUCUCAUGAAGGUGAAAUUAAGGCAACGCCCAAACCUGCUCCUUUUGCAUUUGAGUCCAUCAGUAUAUAAUGUCCAAAUCCUUAGAUUAGAGAUGGUAAAUAUCCGUACCUCAUUUUCAGCUUCAGGAGGUAAGCUUGAACUGAAAUUUACUACAAAAUCUGCUAAUACCUAUGACUUUAUGGUAGUUUGAGGUUGAUAAACAAUAUCAUAUUCACUAAGUUCUAUUUCCCAUUUAGCUAAUCUUCCUGAUAGCUCAUGUUUAUGUAAAAUAUUCCUUAAUGGAAAAGUAGUUACAACAGAAAUAGGAUGACAUUUAAAUAGGGUCGUAAAUUUCUUGAUGUCAUUUUUAAUGCUAGUGCAAGUUUUUCUAGAUGAGAAUAUCGUGUCUCAGCAUCUAACAAAAAUUUACUAAAAUAGUAAAUUGGAGAUUGCGUACUUUUUCUUCUCGUACCAAUAUCGCGCUUACUACUACUUUUGCUACAUCUACGUAGAUUAGUAAUGUCUCUCUAACCCUUGGCUUUGACAACAAAUGCGGUUUUAAUAGAUACACUUUCAAAUCUUUCAAAGCGUUUUGGAAUUCAUCGGUCCAUUCAAAUUGAUUUUUUCAAUAGCGAGAAGAAUUUUAAACAGUUCUCUAAGGAUGUAGACAUGAAUCUCCCCAAAGUUGCUACUCUCCCUGUUAAUUUUUGUACUUCCUUUUUACUUGUGAGUACAUCCGGUAUCUCUUUGAUCGCUUUAAUCUGUGUUGGAUUUACUUCGAUUCCCUUAUUAAAGAUAAGAAAAUCUAAAAAUUUACCUGAGGCUAUUCCAGAGAUGCAUUUCUCCAGGUCCAACUUCAUAUUAUACUUACGCUGUAUUUCAAAGGUUUCAUUCAGAUACCUGAGUUGAUCUUCUAUUUGUUCCAAUUUCACUAGCAUGUUAUCGAUGUAGACUUCCAUGGUUUUCCCUAAAUGCUCUUGGAAUAUUUUGGUCACCAACCUCUGGUACGUAGCUCCAGCAUUCUUCAAGCCAAAAGGCAUGACUUUGUAACAAUAAGUCCCUAUGUAUGUAAUGAAAGAAGUUUUUCCUCGUCUAGGGGAUAUAUUUUUAUUUGAUUAUAUCCAGAAUAAGAAUCUAAAAAGCUUAAGAUUUCUUGACUAGUGGUGCAAUCAAUUAGUUUAUCUAUAUGCGGUAAAGGAAAUGAAUCUUUGGGGCAUGUUUUAUUCAGGUCAGUAUAAUCUACACAUACUCGCCAUUUUCCAUUUUUUUUGGGACUACAACAGUAUUAGCUAACUAGUCAAGGUACUUUACCUCUCGAAUUGAACCAAUUUUUAGAAGUUUCUAUACCUCCUCUUGAACUACCUGAUUUUUGAAUGCGCAUUACUUUCGUUUCUUUUGGAUCUUCAUCUAAUUUGUGAAUUAUUACCUUUGGUGGAAUACCUGUCAUAUCUGAGUGUGACCAAGAAAAACAAUCAGCAUUAGUGCAUAAAAUUCAAAUAACAUACUUGUCAUCUCAAGUCGUAGGUUCAUUCCAACAUAGAAUUAGCUGUCAGGCCAACGGACAAACAAUAUAACAGAUUCGAGCUCUUCCAUAGUUGUUUUAAU
rnacentral:lncRNA from 1 species